UCCACAGUCUCCACAUUAAAUCCGAUAGUAGGGAUGGUAGUGACGAUCUCUCCCAGCUUCAGCUUAUACAAGAUUGUAGUCUUACCAGCUGCAUCGAGACCCACCAUAAGAAUCCGCAUCUCCUUCUUGGCAAAAAGUCGGCUGAACAGCUUGGUGAAAGAUAGCCCCAUCUUCACUCUGGCGAUCAGAUCUAGGGUUCCAAGAGAUUGAAG
rnacentral:misc_RNA from 1 species